rnacentral:rRNA from 1 species
AGUUUGAUCAGUGGCUCAAGAACGAACGCUGGCGGCAUGCCUAACACAUGCAAGUCGAACGAAGUCUUCGGACUUAGUGGCGCACGGGUGCGUAACGCGUGGGAAUCUGCCCUUGGGUGCGGAAUAACUUCUCGAAAGGGAUGCUAAUACCGCAUAAUGUCGUAAGACCAAAGAUUUAUCGCCCAAGGAUGAGCCCGCGUAAGAUUAGCUAGUUGGUGGGUAAAAGCCUACCAAGGCGACGAUCUUUAGCUGGUCUGAGAGGAUGAUCAGCCACACUGGGACUGAGACACGGCCCAGACUCCUACGGGAGGCAGCAGUGGGGAAUAUUGGACAAUGGGCGAAAGCCUGAUCCAGCAAUGCCGCGUGAGUGAUGAAGGCCCUAGGGUUGUAAAGCUCUUUUACCAGGGAUGAUAAUGACAGUACCUGGAGAAUAAGCUCCGGCUAACUCCGUG